CUUUGCUUAUCUAUACCAAUGCCUUCUGCUGCAUACACUAUUUGUAAGAGAAAAUUUCUGAAUCAGAUUGCUCCUACACACAUAAUAUAGUGUGUUUUUUCAAUUUUAAUGAGCGAUUGUAUUUUUAGAAGUAGUCUCAUCUUUUUUUUCUUUAAGAAUUCAGAAAUCAGUGCUAAUGGUAGAUCUUUCUGUGCUGAAGCUGGAGAAGAAACCGCUGUGUUUUUGUCACUGAGCCGACAGUCAGUAGGCAUAAAAGAGAACACUUGGACAUUCACCAUGCUUCUCCCUGCCUUUACCCCAGAAUGGCCUGAAACAGCCCUUUGCAAGAAGGGGAAAAAGUGAAAAGGAGCUGAAUCUCAUCAUACCUUCUUCACUUCCCAAAACUGGAGGUGAAACUGGGAGAAACAGCUCAUCCUGUUUAUCUCAGACUGAGCUAUAAAUUCACAGGGCUUGCUGAGAUUUCAUUUGAGAGAGGAUUAAGUGUUUCCUUCACUAAAUAAGGUUUAAAGGAAAAUGGAAAACUAAUGAAUUUAUAAUAUUUUAUGCUCCACAAGCCAUAUUAUUCAAUAUUAAUAGUCAUAUUCAUUUGUCUUGAUGAGUACUAUUCCCUCAAUCUGCCCAAUAUAUGAAAUAUGAGCAUUUAGGAAGAGCUUUUUCUAACUUUAAGCAUGCGAGACAUCAUUGCCUUUUAAAACUAUUUUAAGCAUAUUAAUGGUAAGUAAAGUUGACACUGUAGAUGGAAUGGAGGUGGAAUUUACCCAGGUCCUUUAGGAUAGUAGGAACUCUAGUCUGAAAGGUGAGCAUACACUGAGGAAAACUGAAAAUCAUGAGUCUUAUAAAAUGUGACCAUGUACAAAGCAGAAAGGAUGAAAUUCUGGCAGGGAUUGGGAAGUAGGGGAGAGGUGGGAAACCUCUCCUAGGAGGGGAGCCUAGGAGGGGUCCAGGAGGCUUCCCUGUAUCCUUUGAGAAACUUUUACAAUAUCUCUAUCUCUAAAUUGCAAAAUGAAAUGGAACUGUGAAUGCAUUAUUUGAUACAUAAAGCAGUACAACUAUAGAAAAAGUCAAUAUUUGCUACAUUGAAAAAUAACUGUUCCCUUUAUCCCAUUAAUAUUGUUUUAUUGUCUUCUCAGCCUCAGGUUAUACUGUCAAUAGGUGGUCAGAAUCUUUAUGAGGGGAGAACAUCCUUUCCCAUGUCAUUUUAUCCAAAGAUUCUAAAUGAAGAUAUGACAAUAAUUUAACUGAAAAUGCCUUCUCCUAUGAAGUAAGCAAUGUUUUAUCAAAAACAUAAAUUCACUACAGUUGCUCAUGUUUUUUUUUUUUUUUUCCAGAAUGAACGAAAUUCACAAUAACGCUAAAAACCAGGUGAGUCAGAAACACAGUUUCAGAGGUUAGUACAUUUGUUCCUAUUUCUUGUGAGUGAAGCUAUCACUGACAUAUCACUGACAGUCAAUUUCAGCAAGUACCGUCCUGAAGUUUUACAAGCUGGACAGAAGACUGGAAAAAAAAAAAAAAAAUCAAGCCAUGUGGCAUAAUUGUUAACUGCUGGGACUCAAUAAGAGGAGAUAGUUCAUGCUGGCACAUCUCAAUCAGAAGUGGAGUGGAAAUACAAGGAGUGUGCCAAAGGUAGGCAGCUUCGUAAGCAAAGCUCAAGGAGCAGCUCAUUCACAAGGCUGUUUGAACAGCUGUUUAUUGUAGAAGAUGGGGGAUUUACAGAAGUUUCUUUUUUUUUUUUUUUUUUUUCUGAAGAACAGAGUUGUCACAGUUUUUUGAAAUGUAGUUUAAAAAUCACAGCAAACAUUAAAAACUGAGAGGAGUCUCUGAAAUACCAUGAAGAUAACAGUGAUUCCUUCUAAAUUCAAGUAUAGUUCAUUCAAGCUUUUUAGAGUACCCAACAAGUGACAGGCACUGGUCUUGGUGUUAAAAAUGCAAAAAUGAAUGAAAGUCGUCCUUACUCCCACAAAGCCUUUUUACAAAGGAAGAAAUUCAGGCCAGAUAAGAUCUCACUAUGUUUUGGUAAAUGACACAACUGGCAUACACACAGGGAGAGACAGGUCCUAUGGGAGGAACACAAAAGAGAGAAUCUACUAGAUCUAACCAAAAGGAAAGCUUUGAGGGUAACCCCAGCAUAAUAUUUUGCUACACAAAUAGUUUUAAUAAAGGUGUGUGUUUUAAGCA
rnacentral:lncRNA from 12 species